rnacentral:lncRNA from 1 species
UCCUCUGCUGCCGCCGCCGUCUCCCGGCAGCCGCCGCCGCCGCCGCUGUCCGAACUUGAAGUUGCCGGCGCGCCCGUUGCAGCCGCCGCCGCCGCCGCGGAGGUCGCCGUGGCCGCCGGGGGCCCCUUCUCGGCGCUCUUGUCCCCGGGGUAGUCGGAGGAGGCGAGGUUUUCCGGGGUGCCGUAGGCUGUCUCGAAAAACUGGUCGAAAGCCUGUGGCAGGACGCCGUUCCUGCCCACGGUGCUAUAGAAAUUGGACGAGACUGCGGGGGUGGGGUGGUGGUAGACGUUGGCCGAGCUCUUGGCCAGCACGUCGCCAGGCACGCCGGCCGCGCUGGGCGCCUGCAGGCAGUCUCUGUGCACGAGCUCCUCCGCGGAGUAGCAGUGGGCCAGAUUGCCGCGGGGGUGCCAUUUAGUGGCGGGCUCAAUGGCGUACUCUCUGAAGGUCACUUCGCGCACGGGUUGGACCUGGGGCAGGUUGGAGGAGUAGGAGUAUGUCAUUGGGCGCGAAGACGGGGUCUGGGGCAGAAAAGAAGGGAGGCUGGAGAAAUCUGGACCCGAGACGUAGUAAGUACAACUUGGCAAAUACAUGUUAGAGGAGCAGGGACCACGCUCAUCAAAAUCCAUUAUUGGGCUACCUUGGGCUCUCCGCAGUAGCCGAGCUUAACAUGAUUCUCCACUGCAGCUGCCUCUUUGAAGCGGAUCCGUGAAGUAGAAAUUUGGAGACGCCACCUCAGGGGAAGCAACAGAUCGUCACUCGGUGUUCUCACCGAAAGCACGUAAUCGCCGGUGUAACUCAUGUUGGCUGGGGGGCCUCCCGGCGCGCGCGGAGAGGCUGGGGUGCGCCCCCAUGCAGCAUGCUUGUGCUCAAUUGCAGGGUCCUCGUUCUCGAGUGUGCAGAGGGCGGUGAGAGCUCAACUCUCGUCCCCACCUCCCACCCGCAGCUCCCCGGGUGGGUGAGGGAUGCCCUGGACUGGGGAUAGCCAGGUGGGAGUCCGUCGCUGUGUGGCCUGUGGUCUCGGAGUCUGUUCUCCUGGAGUCUCGCAUUUGCACCCCCUUCUUCGCAGUCCCCCUCCCAUAGACUUGCUCUGGGAAGCGCCUCUGCCUCCGACCCUAGCCGGAACCCCUUCGGGGCCAGAGUUUGAAGCCGUGGAUGUGCCUGCCUGGUGGCUUGUCCGAUUUGCACGGUGACUUGAUUACACUCUCUCAUUCAUGGUCACUUCCGAAGCGCUUUAGUGCCUUCCGUCCCUAAACCGCCAACAGCCAGAACGGCUUCUCCCCGCGGUUUGUCACUGAUCCGCAGGGCCCGGAAGGGCCUUCGUCUUACCCGGGAUCCACCUCUCCCCUCAUCUUCCCUGCCUACCUCUUCAUCCCACCUUCUGUCCUUGGAGAAACUCCCUCCUCCUCGCUGCCUGCCGGGCUUCGGAGUGACUCGGCAGAGACAGAGGCACAGGGGCUGCCCUGCUGCUCACCGGUCCACCCAUCUGCCUGGUCUUCUGGAGCUGAGGACUCGGGAAACCAUGCAAUUGAGGCAAGCCUUGGGCUGCUUUAGAGGCGCUGACAUCCGAGGAGACUUCUCCUGGGAUUGAAGGAGCAAUGUUUGGAGGAAGCGAAAGAAAGGAGAGGACACAGAGCACAGAGCAGCCAGGCAGAGCCAGGAGCUGAGAAGGGCCCAGACCUGAGGCCUCCCAACAACUCUCUUCUUGGAAGGAUCUGGGAUGUUGCUGAAGGAAAAUAAAAAAAUAUGUAAAAAGAUAACCUUUUGUUUUUCCCUCUCCAGGAAAUAGCCAAAGUUAUUUACAUAUCUUGGGGAGAUUUAGAGUAUAAACUCUAAGAUCUUUGGUAUUUAAGUGUCAACAUCGAUUUAUUUAUUUAUUGCUGAGCUGACUGUAACUGACUCAAUAACAAAUCUAAUCGUGUAUUGCACUGGAAAAGAAAUAUUCUUAUUAUGUAUUUUCUCCAAAUAAUGGCCUACCAUUGCAUUUGAAUACCUGCUGUAAAUAUCAAUAAUAUGAAGUAAUUAUAGGAAAACCGAAAACAGUUCUAGACAGACCUGCGGUUUUAUAGCAGUUUUGGCAGUCAACUUCAGCUUGUGCCUGAGCAGACGGGGUUGUGGUGGCCCGCCAGCGGGGGAUGCCAGGCCACCUCCCCCAGCGGCACGCAGCCCCUCUCUUAAUUAGAUCGGUUUUCCCCUGGUGUCCGGGAGAGCGGUCCCGGCAGAAAGGAGGUCCAACAGCCGAGCUUAGCCCACCGGGCUCUGGGAAAGACCCGACUGAGGCUAAAGCCGCCCCGGAAGGCCAAGUCCGAGUUCCAUUUCUUGAAGAGGCCGGCGCGCGUAAGGCUGUGACAUUGGCCCUGGCGACUGGCUUCCCAGGAGCUGUUCUUUCUCAGGAGCUCCACAGCGCGGGCCAUCUCCAGAAAACUGUCUUCAGAGUGUAUUUCCUUUUAUCGUCAACCCAGAGCCCCACCGCGGCUAAUGCAAGAGGCCAAAAAAUGUUUGGAGGAAGAAAAACAAAGGCAGGAAGUGGCGGCGGCCUGACGGUGCGUGUGUGUCUGCAGAGAAGGGAGGGAGCCGGCUCAGUCUCUUCUUGUUUUUCCAAACUUCAAGGUCCAGGCAGCCCUCUGCAGGGCCGGGCCCCAUUGCUCCCCGCGCGGCAUUGGAGGUGGCCGCCCGGAGAGGAGAAGGCCAACGCCUGCGCCAGGCUUGUCAGGCGGAAACGGCUAACAAGGAGAUUUGGUCAGCAAAACAGACCCAGCCUUUCCGAGGCUUCGUCUGACUUGGCCCGAAAGGUUGGGGAGGGGGGGCUUGCGCAGAGCCUCAGGGACCCUCCUCUCUGGGGACUACCAUCCCUGAGCCUUACGCUUCUUUCCACAGCCUUUGCAGGCGGAAUAUCGGAAUAAAGUGGGUCCAGGCGCCU